rnacentral:rRNA from 1 species
AUUGAACGCUGGCGGCAUGCCUUACACAUGCAAGUCGAACGGUAACAGGUCUUCGGAUGCUGACGAGUGGCGCACGGGUGCGUAAUACAUCGGAACGUGCCCAGACGUGGGGGAUAACGAGGCGAAAGCUUUGCUAAUACCGCAUACGAUCUAAGGAUGAAAGCAGGGGACCGCAAGGCCUUGUGCGUUUGGAGCGGCCGAUGGCAGAUUAGGUAGUUGGUGGGAUAAAAGCUUACCAAGCCGACGAUCUGUAGCUGGUCUGAGAGGACGACCAGCCACACUGGGACUGAGACACGGCCCAGACUCCUACGGGAGGCAGCAGUGGGGAAUUUUGGACAAUGGGCGAAAGCCUGAUCCAGCAAUGCCGCGUGCAGGAUGAAGGCCUUCGGGUUGUAAACUGCUUUUGUACGGAACGAAAAGGCUCUGGCUAAUACCUGGGGCACAUGACGGUACCGUAAGAAUAAGCACCGGCUAACUACGUG